AAAGGAAUUUGAAAUGAAGGAUCUGGGGCAACUGAAGUAUUUUCUGGGUAUUGAAGUUGCGAGGUCUAAGAAGGGAAUUUCACUGUCACAGAGGAAGUAUGUUCUUGACUUACUUGCUGAAACGGGGAUGCUGGACUGCAGUCCAAUUGAGACACCCAUUGAGAUGAAUCACAGACUUGCCAUUUAUCCUGAUCAAGUUCCAACUGAUAAAGGAAGUUUAUGCAUUGUCCUAGUGAAGAACAUAUGGAUGCAGUUUUUCGGAUUUUGAGGUAUUUGAAGAUGGCGCCAGGAGGGAACCUUGUCACUUGGCGUAGCAAGAAACAGAAAGUUGUGGCCAGAUCAAGUGCAGAAGCUGAAUUUCGAGGUAUGGCACAUGGAGUCUGUGAAAUGUUAUGGAUUCGUAAUGUCCUGAAAGAUCUAGGUUAC